rnacentral:rRNA from 1 species
CCCGCCGGCGACCGGCGCACGGGUGAGUAACACGUAUGGAACCUGCCCGCAGCAGGGGGAUAAGCGGAAGAAAUUCCGUCUAAUACCGCGUAACACCGCGGAGGGGCAUCCCUCGGCGGUUAAAGAUUCAUCGGCUGCGGAUGGCCAUGCGGCGCAUUAGCUAGUCGGCGGGGUAACGGCCCACCGAGGCGACGAUGCGUAGGGGUUCUGAGAGGAAGGUCCCCCACACUGGUACUGAGACACGGUCCAAACUCCUACGGAAGGCAGCAG